UCCUAGUUAACCUAGGCAGUCUCAUUAGAGUCCCCACCUUUCGUGUUGGCAACUAAUGAUAAGGGUUGCGCUCGUUGCGGGACUUAACCCAACACCUCACGGCACGAGCUGACGACAGCCAUGCAGCACCUAUACAGCAGUCCUUACGGAAAUGGCUAUCUCUAGCCACGUCUCCUGCAUUUCGAGCCUGGGUAAGGUUCUUCGCGUUGCAUCGAAUUAAACCACAUGCUCCACUGCUUGUGCGGGCCCCCGUCAAUUCUUUUGAGUUUCACCCUUGCGAGUGUACUCCUCAGGCGGUAUACUUAACGCGUUCGCUCCGGUACAGCCAGGGUUGAGCCCAGCUACACCAAGUAUACAUCGUUUACGGCAAGGACUAC
rnacentral:misc_RNA from 1 species